CCUGUUCCUAGAGGCAUUGCAGGUGUGGCUACUGUGUCAAAAGUGUGUCAAUAGGUGGCAAAGAGGAGAGAGCCUAUGUCUACACUCAGCUCAAUGUUCUGAAUAAUGAACAUCUGAGUCAGUAGUAGCCUAACUCU
rnacentral:snoRNA from 1 species